UCGCCCUGGUUCCCAGGGCAGAACGAGACAGACCCUGGAGACACUACAGAUGGAAGACUACUGCAGGAGGGCCAGAGGUCCUGCAAUUUGGUCCAGAAAACAAACGGAACGGGAAGAGUCCAUGUUGGGUCUUACAAGGGCAAAACCAAGGCGUCAGCCAGGGUGGCCUCUGAUCAGGGAGUUCUGGGAAGAACCAUUUCCAAGGUCAUUCGGGUGACGGCCAAGGUCAUUCAGUGAGAGGACACAGAUUAAAGUCAGCAGCGGUAAGAGGCUGGUGGGGCCGGGCCCAGGAGAGGCCAGGUGUGAGCUUCCAGGUGUCCUUCCAGGAGGGCCAUGUGGACAGCCCUUCAUUCUCCCAGCAACAAUGUGUGACAACACAGGUGGAGUACUGCCAGCCAGGGACACCGACCUGAGCCUUAGGGUCCGGAG